rnacentral:rRNA from 1 species
CAGCAGCCGCGGUAAUACGAAGGGGGCUAGCGUUGUUCGGAAUUACUGGGCGUAAAGCGCACGUAGGCGGAUAUUUAAGUCAGGGGUGAAAUCCCGCAGCUCAACUGCGGAACUGCCUUUGAUACUGGGUAUCUUGAGUAUGGAAGAGGUUAGUGGAAUUGCGAGUGUAGAGGUGAAAUUCGUAGAUAUUCGCAGGAACACCAGUGGCGAAGGCGGCUAACUGGUCCAUAACUGACGCUGAGGUGCGAAAGCGUGGGGAGCAAACAGGAUUAGAUACCCGAGUAGUCCCUGUCUCUUAUAC